GGUCAGCUGACACAUCCCUGCCAAUCUCCGGCAGACCCUCCCUCCCAGACCCUCCCACCUCCUGGACAGCAUCCAUGUUGAAGCUGCCUUCAACAUGGAUGCUGUCCAGGAAGUAGGAGGGUCUGGGAGGGAGGGUCUGCCGGAGAUUGGCAGGGAUGUGUCAGCUG
rnacentral:miRNA from 1 species